rnacentral:lncRNA from 1 species
CAGAGUGUCCGCCAAGUGGUUCUGGCGUAGCAGGCAGGUGGUUCAGGGGUGUCCGGCAGGUGGUUCCGGUCUGUCCGGGAUGUGGUUCCGGUGGCUCCAGCACGUGGUUCUGGCACGUCUGACAGGGGGUUCCGGCAUUCCCGGCAGCUGAUUCCAGAGUGUCUGCCUAGUGGUUCUGGCGCAGCCGGCAGGUCAUUUUGGCAUGUCCGGCAUGUGGUUUCAGCACGUCGAACAGGUGGUUCCGGCGUGCUCGGCAGGUGGUUCAGGUGUGUCCAGCAGGUGGUUCCGGUCUGUCUGGGAGGUGGUUCCGGCGUGUCCGGCACGUGGUUCUGGCACGUCUGACAGGAGGUGGCAGCAUUCCCGCAGGUGAUUGUGGAGUGACCGCCAAGUGGUUCUGGCCUAUAAGGCAGGUGAUUUUGGCAUGUCUGGCAGGUGGUUCCGGUGAGUCAAGCAGGUGGUUCCGGCGUGCUCAGCAGGUGUCUCAGGCAUGUCUGGCAGGUGGUUCUGGUCUGUCUGGGAGGUGGUUCCGGCAUGUACGGCCCAUGGUUCUGGUACGUUUGAGAGGUGGUUCGUCAUGCCCAGCACGUGAUUUGGGACUGCCCGCCACAUGGUUGUGCCAUAGCCAGCAGGUGACUUUAGCGUGUCCGUAAGGUGGCUCUGGCGACUUGAGCAGAUAGUUCCGGAGUGCUCGGCAGGUGGUUCAGGCAUGUCCGGCAGGUAGUCCUGGCGAGUUGAGCAGGUGGUUCUGGCGUGCACUGCUUGUGGUUCAGGCAGGUCCAGCAGGUGGUUCCGGUCGGUCCUUUAGGUGGUUCCAGCAUGUCCUGCAUGUGGUUCUUGUACAUCUGAGACAUGCUUCUGGCAUGCCCAGCAUGUGAUUCUGCACUGCCCACCACGUGGUUCUUGCGUAGCUGGCAGGUGAUCUUGGUGUGUCCGGCAGGUGGUUCCAGCGAGUCAAGCAGGUGGUUCCGGUCUGUCUGGGAGGUGG